AUGACUGAAAAUGGUGAUAGUGAAAAGAGGCCAAAAUCUGUGUCAAACUGAGUAUUAUUUUGGUGACUUUAAUUUGCCACGGGACAAAUUUUUAAAGGAACAGAUCAAACUAGAUGACGCCUGGGUACAUUUGGAGAAAAUGAUAAAAUUCAACAGGUUAAACCAUCUAACAACAGACUUUAAUAUAAUAGUAGAAGCAUUGAGUAAAUCAAAGGUAGAACUCAUGGAAAUAAGUGAUGAUAAAACUAAAAUCAGAAGGUCUCCAAGCAAACCCCUCCCUGAAGUGACUAAUGAGUAUAAAAAUGACGUGAAAAACAGAACUGUUUAUAUUAAAGGUUUCCCAACUUAUGCCACCCUUGAUGACAUAAAAGAAUGGUUAGAAGAUAAAGGUCAAGUACUAAAUGUUCAGAUGAGAAGAACAUUGCACAGAACAUUUAAGGGAUCAAUAUUUGUUGUGUUUGAAAACAUUGAAUCUGCUAAGAAGUUUGUAGAGACCACUGGCCAGAAGUACAAAGAGACAGACCUGCUAAUACUUUUCAAGUAAGAUUACUUUGCAAAAAAGAAUGAAGGAAGAAAGCAAAAUAAAGUGGAAACUAAAUUACGAGCCAUACAAGUGCAAGAAGAAAAUCAGAAGUUAGCAGAAGAUGCUGAAAUGCAAUCUCUAGAAGAAAAGAUGGGCUGCUUACUGAAAUUUUGGGGUGAUUUAGAUGAUCAGAUGUGUAGAGAAGACUUGCACAUCCUAUUCUCAAACCAUGGAGAAAUCAAAUGGAUAGACUUUGUAGGAGGAACAAAAGAGGGAGUAAUUCUGUUUAAAGAAAAAGCUAAAGAAGUAUUGGAUAAAGCCAAGGAAGCAAGUAACAGUAACCUACAAUUAGAGAACAAAGAAGUGACCUGGGAAGUGCUAGAAGGAGAGGUAGAAAAAGCAGCAUUGGAAAAAAACUAUGGAAGAUCAACAAGAAUCCCUAAACAAAUGGAAGUCAAAAAGUUGCAAAUUUAAAGGAAAAGGAAAGGGAAAUAAAAUUGCCAAGGCUGGGUCUGCUAAAGGGAAAAUACAGUUUCAGGGAAAGAAAACUAAAUUUGAUAGUGAUGAUGAAUGUGAUAAAAAAUGGUGCAACUGGAUCAGUGAAAAGAGCAAGAGAAGAGCCAGAGAGAGAGAGAAGAGCCUGCAUCAAAACAAGAGAAAACAGAAAAUGGUAGAGGAGACCAGGAGUUUAGAAUAAACAUUUUAGAAUUCAUUUUAUUUAGGUUUGAAUCUACUUUUCUCUUUGGAUUUUUUAAAACAAAAUCAAAUUAG